rnacentral:rRNA from 1 species
CGGCGGACGGGUAGGUAAUGUCUGGGAAACUGCCCGAUGGAGGGGGAUAACUACUGGAAACGGUAGCUAAUACCGCAUAACGUCGCAAGACCAAAGAGGGGGACCUUCGGGCCUCUUGCCAUCGGAUGUGCCCAGAUGGGAUUAGCUAGUAGGUGGGGUAACGGCUCACCUAGGCGACGAUCCCUAGCUGGUCUGAGAGGAUGACCAGCCACACUGGAACUGAGACACGGUCCAG